rnacentral:rRNA from 1 species
CCGGAACGUAACGGUUCCUUUCCUUCGGGACAGGCGAGACAGGUGGUGCAUGGUUGUCGUCAGCUCGUGUCGUGAGAUGUUGGGUUAAGUCCCGCAACGAGCGCAACCCUUAUCCUUAGUAGCCAGCAGGYAAGGCUGGGCACUCUGGGGAGACUGCCGGAGACAAUCCGGAGGAAGGUGGGGAUGACGUCAAAUCAUCAUGCCCCUUAUGAUUUGGGCUACACACGUGCUACAAUGGCGUAAACAAAGGGAAGCGAAGGAGUGAUCCGGAGCGAACCCCAAAAAUAACGUCCCAGUUCGGAUUGUAGUCUGCAACUCGACUACAUGAAGCUGGAAUCGCUAGUAAUCGCGGAUCASAAUGCCG